UACGUAGGGUGCGAGCGUUAAUCGGAAUUACUGGGCGUAAAGUGUGCGCAGGCGGCGUCGCAAGUCGAGUGUGAAAGCCCCGGGCUUAACUUGGGAAUUGCGCUCGAAACUACGGCGCUGGAGUGUGGCAGAGGAAGGUGGAAUUCCACGUGUAGCGGUGAAAUGCGUAGAUAUGUGGAGGAACACCGAUCGCGAAGGCAGCCUUCUGGGCCAACACUGACGCUCAUGCACGAAAGCGUGGGGAGCAAACAGG
rnacentral:rRNA from 1 species